rnacentral:rRNA from 1 species
UACGUAGGUGGCAAGCGUUGUCCGGAUUUAUUGGGUUUAAAGGGUGCGUAGGCGGCUUAUUAAGUCAGUGGUGAAAUAUCGCAGCUCAACUGUGAGGGUGCCAUUGAUACUGAUGAGCUUGAGUGAAGUCGAGGUAGGCGGAAUUGACGGUGUAGCGGUGAAAUGCUUAGAUAUCGUCAAGAACACCGAUAGUGAAGACAGCUUACUAGACUUCAACUGACGCUGAGGCACGAAAGUGUGGGGAUCAAACAGG